rnacentral:rRNA from 1 species
CCUACGGGUGGCAGCAGUGGGGAAUAUUGCACAAUGGGGGGAACCCUGAUGCAGCAACGCCGCGUGGGUGUAGAAGUACUACGGUAUGUAAAGCCCUGUCAGCAGGGAAGAAAAUGACGGUACCUGACCAAGAAGCCCCGGCUAACUACGUGCCAGCAGCCGCGGUAAGACGUAGGGGGCAAGCGUUGUCCGGAUUUACUGGGUGUAAAGGGAGCGUAGAUGGCAAGUCAAGUCUGGAGGGAAAGCCUGUGGCUAAACCACGGGACUGCUUUGGAAACUGUGUUGCUGGAGUGCAGUAGGGGUGAGAGGAAUUCCUGGUGUAGCGGUGAAAUGCGUAGAUAUUAGGAGGAACACCGGUGGCGAAGGCGGCUUACUGGACUGUAACUGACGUUGAGGCUCGAAGGCGUGGGGAGCAAACAGGAUUAGAUACCCCUGUAGUC